AACACCUGGGUAUCUUGUUAAAAGGCAGAUUCAGAUUCAGUAGAUCUGAGGUAGGCCUGAGAUUCUGCUUUUCUAACAAGCUCCUAAAUGAUGUGGG
rnacentral:pre_miRNA from 1 species